AAGUUGUGUGAACUGUCAUUUGCUGUCACAUUGCCCAAUUUGGAAAGGACCAUUUUGCCAUUUCACUUAAAAAUGCAAUUAUGCUAAUCACUCUCAUUUUGCUAAUUUGGAUUAAGGAAUGGAUUAAGCAGGGGUAUAUAUCACUAAUCAUAACAGAAAUUGCAAAUCACAUCACAUUCUCCAAGAUUGCAACAACCUUUCCCUCCAAAACCUCUCAAAUUCAC
rnacentral:lncRNA from 1 species